CCUACGGGAGGCAGCAGUCGAGAAUCAUUCACAAUGGGGGAAACCCUGAUGGGGCGACGCCGCGUGGGGGAAUGAAGGUCUUCGGAUUGUAAACCCCUGUCAUGUGGGAGCAAAUUAAAAAGAUAGUACCACAAGAGGAAGAGACGGCUAACUCUGUGCCAGCAGCCGCGGUAAUACAGAGGUCUCAAGCGUUGUUCGGAAUCACUGGGCGUAAAGGGUGCGUAGGCUGUUUCGUAAGUCGUGUGUGAAAGGCGCGGGCUCAACCCGCGGACGGCACAUGAUACUGCGAGACUAGAGUAAUGGAGGGGGAACCGGAAUUCUCGGUGUAGCCGUGAAAUGCGUAGAUAUCGAGAGGAACACUCGUGGCGAAGGCGGGUUCCUGGACAUUAACUGACGCUGAGGCACGAAGGCCAGGGGAGCGAAAGGGAUUAGAUACCCCAGUAGUC
rnacentral:rRNA from 1 species